CAAAGACAUACAUCAAGAGUCCUGCAAAGCUGAAGAGAAAACGUGGAGAUGAGGAUCCUUCAGAGCCAAGCAGUGCGGCGAAGAGGAUUGAUUUUGAUGAUCCAUCAGCAGCUUAGGAUGUUAUAGAUAGUUUUGGGAUGCUUACAUGUCUAGUUGGCAUGUAUAUUUUGUAUAUGGACAUACAUUCACGUAUUUAGACAUACAUUUUGUUUCA